rnacentral:rRNA from 1 species
AGGUAAAGGUAUAAAGGGCUCACGGAGGAUGCCUUGGUAGCGGGAGGCGAAGAAGGGCGUGGCCAGCUGCGAAAAGCCGCGUGUAGGUGCAAGCGACCAUAGAAGCGCGGAUGCCCGAAUGGGGAAACCCACUAGGCAGAGAUGUCUAGUAUCCUGAAAAGGAAGCGAACCUUGCGAACUGAAACAUCUUAGUAGCGAGAGGAAGAGAAAUCGAAGAGAUUCCCUGAGUAGCGGCGAGCGAAACGGGAAGAGCCUAAACCUAUAUAGUGUAAGCGUACGGGCGUUGCUAUAUAGGGGUAGAGGGAUAUAUACGGGCCUGACCGUACAGGGCCGGGAGAAGCUAAAGGCUAGUCGAACUAUCUGGGAAGAUAGACCGGAGAAGGUGAAAGUCCUGUAGGCGAAAGUCAGAGGCUAUCCUUGCAUAUAUCCCGAGUAACGCGGGGCACGAGAAAUCCCGCGUGAAUCUGGGGAGACCACUCUCUAAGGCUAAAUACUACCUGCUGACCGAUAGCGGAAAAGUACCGUGAGGGAAAGGUGAAAAGCACCCCGGGAGGGGAGUGAAAGAGUACCUGAAACCGUGAGUCUACAAUAAGUGGGAGCACGAAAGUGCGACCGC